rnacentral:rRNA from 1 species
ACAGGGAUUGCCCUAGUAACGGCGAGUGAAGCGGCAACAGCUCAAAUUUGAAAUCUGGCGUCUUCGGCGUCCGAGUUGUAAUUUGCAGAGGGCGCUUUGGCAUUGGCAGCGGUCCAAGUUCCUUGGAACAGGACGUCACAGAGGGUGAGAAUCCCGUACGUGGUCGCUAGCCUUUACCGUGUAAAGCCCCUUCGACGAGUCGAGUUGUUUGGGAAUGCAGCUCUAAAUGGGAGGUAAAUUUCUUCUAAAGCUAAAUACUGGCCAGAGACCGAUAGCGCACAAGUAGAGUGAUCGAAAGAUGAAAAGCACUUUGGAAAGAGAGUUAAAAAGCACGUGAAAUUGUUGAAAGGGAAGCGCUUGCAGCCAGACUUGCCUGUAGUUGCUCAUCCGGGUUUCUACCCGGUGCACUCUUCUAUAGGCAGGCCAGCAUCAGUUUGGGCGGUUGGAUAAAGGUCUCUGUCAUGUACCUCCUCUCGGGGAGAACUUAUAGGGGAGACGACAUGCAACCAGCCCGGACUGAGGUCCGCGCAUCUGCUAGGAUGCUGGCGUAAUGGCUGUAAGCGGCCCGUCUUGAAACACGGACCAAGGAGUCUAACAUCUAUGCGAGUGUUUGGGUGUCAAGCCCGAACGCGUAAUGAAAGUGAACGGAGGUGGGAACCUUUCGGGGUGCACCAUCGACCGAUCCUGAUGUCUUCGGAUGGAUUUGAGUAAGAGCAUAGCUGUUGGGACCCGAAAGAUGGUGAACUAUGCUUGAAUAGGGUGAAGCCAGAGGAAACUCUGGUGGAGGCUCGCAGCGGUUCUGACGUGCAAAUCGAUCGUCAAAUUUGGGCAUAGGGGCGAAAGACUAAUCGAACUAUCUAGUAGCUGGUUCCUGCGA